rnacentral:rRNA from 1 species
UCUAGUGGCGGACGGGUGAGUAACACGUGAGAAUUUGCCUUUAGGAGGGGGAUAACAAUUGGAAACGAAUGCUAAUACCCCAUAUGCUUCCGAGUGAAAUGGAUUUAUAUUUAUCCGCCUAAAGAGAAGCUCGCGGCUGAUUAGCUUGUUGGUAAGGUAAGAGCUUACCAAGGCGACGAUCAGUAUCUGGUUUGAGAGGACGAUCAGACACACUGGAACUGAGACACGGUCCAGACUCCUACGGGAGGCAGCAGUGGGGAAUUUUCCGCAAUGGGCGAAAGCCUGACGGAGCAAUACCGCGUGAGGGAAGACUGCCUAUGGGUUGUAAACCUCUUUUUUCAGGGAGGAAUCAAUGACGUGUACCUGAAGAAUAAGCAUCGGCUAACUCCGUGCCAGCAGCCGCGGUAAGACGGAGGAUGCAAGUGUUAUCCGGAAUCACUGGGCGUAAAGCGUCUGUAGGUGGUUUAAUAAGUCAACUGUUAAAUCUUGAGGCUC